rnacentral:lncRNA from 1 species
AAGAAAUCUAGUGAUAAGCACAUUGCAAAACAAUUAGUUCCAAAGGAAGAUCAAUCACUCAGCCAACUAGACAUCUCAAAGGGAGGAACUAGGUCACUGUUCAAGGUCUCACGAUACAGUCUAAGGAAAUCCUAUGUACAAAAAUUCAAAAUUGAAGAUUUUGCUCAUUGUAUUUUUGAAUCUCGCCUAGGACUUGAUCUACUUCCAAGGUUUUCGACCAUCCUGAUUCCACUACUCCCCCCGUAACUCUUCACCAAGCCUUUGCACUCACCAAGAUACCCAUCAUCGGCUAUUGCACUGAUUUUGAAAAAGCGGCUAUGGAAAAAAGAGUAAGAAAAAUUGACCUGGAUAUAUCCAAGUUUUAGCUGCCUCGUAAUCAAUCUCAAAACAGCUGCCUCCCACUCCCGGAACCCAAGCAUCUGUAGUUUCCUCAACAACCAACGUCUUCGUCUUCCCAAUGAAACUAUCUAGCGUCGCCUGUUUACAGUUCCCAGACGGCCGCUUCCCAUUCUUAACGAGAGAAUUGGAACAAUUCGAAUCACCCCCAGCAACCGAUUAUCCGAUCGGUUUGGGUUGAAUGAGGAGGUGGAGGGAAUCACAUUCUCGCAGGCCACGUCGAUUUCC